rnacentral:rRNA from 1 species
AGCCUGAACGCUGGCGGCGUGGCUAAGACAUGCAAGUCGUACGGGUGUAGCAAUACACCAGUGGCGGACGGGUGAGUAAAGUAUCGCUAACGUGCCCUCCUGUCCGGGAUAGCCGAGGGAAACUUCGGGUAAUACCGGGUGACAUCCCCAGCAGGCAUCUGCCGGGGCUCAAAGGUGAAAGCCGCAGGGGGGAGCGGGCGAGUAUACGGUAUCAGCGUAGUUGGUGGGUAACGGCCCACCAAGGCGACGACGCGUAGCCGGACUGAGAGGUUGGCCGGCCACAUUGGGACUGAGACACUGCCCAGACUCCUACGGGGGGCUGCAGUAACGAAUCUUCCGCAAUGCACGCAAGUGUGACGGAGCGACGCCGCGUGUGGGACGAAGCCCUUCGGGGUGUAAACCACUGUCAGGGCAGCCAAGACUGAGGCGCCCAGAGGAAGGCACGGCUAACUCUGUGCCAGCAGCCGC